rnacentral:rRNA from 1 species
CCUACGGGGGGCUGCAGUGGGGAAUAUUGGGCAAUGGACGAAAGUCUGACCCAGCAACGCCGCGUGAGGGAUGAAGGUCUUCGGAUUGUAAACCUCUUUCAGCAGGGACGAAGCGAAAGUGACGGUACCUGCAGAAGAAGCACCGGCUAACUACGUGCCAGCAGCCGCGGUAAUACGUAGGGUGCAAGCGUUGUCCGGAUUUAUUGGGCGUAAAGAGCUCGUAGGCGGCCCGACGCGUCGGAUGUGAAAACACGGUGCUUAACACCGUGCCUGCAUUCGAUACGGUCGAGCUAGAGGAUGGCAGGGGAAACUGGAAUUCCUGGUGUAGCGGUGAAAUGCGCAGAUAUCAGGAGGAACACCGGUGGCGAAGGCGGGUUUCUGGGCCAUUACUGACGCUGAGGAGCGAAAGCGUGGGGAGCAAACAGGAUUAGAUACCCUGGUAGUC